UACGGGGGGGCAAGCGUUGUUCGGAAUUACUGGGCGUAAAGGGCUCGUAGGUGGCCAACUAAGUCAGACGUGAAAUCCCUCGGCUUAACCGGGGGAACUGCGUCUGAUACUGGAUGGCUUGAGUUCGGGAGAGGGAGUGCGGGAAUUCCAGGUGUAGCGGUGAAAUGCGCAGAUAUCGGGAAGAACACCCGUGGCGAAGGCGGCUCUCGUG
rnacentral:rRNA from 1 species